rnacentral:rRNA from 1 species
AGCUAGUUGGUGAGGUAAAGGCUCACCAAGGCGACGAUCUGUAGCGGGUCUGAGAGGAUGAUCCGCCACACUGGAACUGGGACACGGUCCAGACUCCUACGGGAGGCAGCAGUGGGGAAUUUUGGACAAUGGGGGCAACCCUGAUCCAGCCAUGCCGCGUGAGUGAAGAAGGCCUUCGGGUUGUAAAGCUCUUUCGGCCGGGAAGAAAUCGCAUGGGUUAAUACCCUGCGCGGAUGACGGUACCGGCAUAAGAAGCACCGGCUAACUACGUGCCAGCAGCCGCGGUAAUACGUAGGGUGCGAGCGUUAAUCGGAAUUACUGGGCGUAAAGCGUGCGCAGGCGGUUUUGUAAGACAGGCGUGAAAUCCCCGGGCUCAACCCGGGAACUGCGCUUGUGACUGCAAGGCUAGAGUACGGCAGAGGGGGGUGGAAUUCCACGUGUAGCAGUGAAAUGCGUAGAGAUGUGGAGGAACACCAAUGGCGAAGGCAGCCCCCUGGGUCGAUACUGACGCUCAUGCACGAAAGCGUGGGUAGCAAACAGGAUUAGAUACCCUGGUAGUCCACGCCCUAAACGAUGUCGACUAGGUGUUGGGUGGGUAAAACCAUUUAGUACCGGAGCUAACGCGUGAAGUUGACCGCCUGGGGAGUACGGCCGCAAGGUUAAAACUCAAAGGAAUUGACGGGGACCCGCACAAGCGGUGGAUGAUGUGGAUUAAUUCGAUGCAACGCGAAAAACCUUACCUACCCUUGACAUGUCCAGGAGCCUGAAGAGAUUUGGGUGUGCCCGAAAGGGAACUGGAACACAGGUGCUGCAUGGCUGUCGUCAGCUCGUGUCGUGAGAUGUUGGGUUAAGUCCCGCAACGAGCGCAACCCUUGUCGUUAAUUGCCAUCAUUUAGUUGGGCACUUUAACGAGACUGCCGGUGACAAACCGGAGGAAGGUGGGGAUGACGUCAAGUCCUCAUGGCCCUUAUGGGUAGGGCUUCACACGUCAUACAAUGGUCGGUACAAAGGGUCGCCAACCCGCGAGGGGGAGCCAAUCCCAGAAAGCCGAUCGUAGUCCGGAUCGUAGGCUGCAACUCGCCUGCGUGAAGUCGGAAUCGCUAGUAAUCGUGGAUCAGCAUGUCACGGUGAAUACGUUCCCGGGUCUUGUACACACCGCUCGUCACACCAUGGGAGCGGGUUCCGCCAGAAGUAGGUAGCCUAACCGCAAGGGGGGCGCUUACCACGGCGGGGUUCGUGACUGGGGUGAAGUCGUAACAAGGUAGCCGUAGGGGAACCUGCGGCUG